rnacentral:lncRNA from 1 species
AAAAUCUUAUCAAACUCCUCAGCUUCCUCCAGUUUCAAUCCCACCUUCAUCAAAUCCUCCACUCCCACUUCUCUUAUGUUCUUUCCCAUUUUUUCCUCUCUCUCUCGUUAACAAGUUCUGAUCUUUUUUUCAGUUACCAGUAGACAUUUGGGAGUCCCUCUGUUACAUGAACAUAGCAUUUACCAUAGACAUUUAUUGUUAACAGGUAAUAACAGGUGUAGAAGAUUGAAUAAGGUAGGUGGUUGAACAUGUGGUGUGUUUCUGAUGAUUAAAAAAAUGAGUCAACGACCCCAGUUUCGAUAUACGAAAAACACUGCUUCUGUAAUUUACUCUAGUGGGUAUUACGGAUUUCCACUCUUAAACAUCCAAGUCUUUGGCACCACCAGGUCCCCACGGAUUCGUACGCUUGCAUGUAUAUAUAUGUAUGUGUGUAUGUGUGU